rnacentral:tRNA from 1 species
ACCAGUGUGGUAUAGUGGUUUGAACAUUGGACAAUGACUCUGGAAAUCAGGGUUCAAAUCCCUGCUCUGUCA